rnacentral:rRNA from 1 species
UACGAAGGGGGCUAGCGUUGCUCGGAAUCACUGGGCGUAAAGCGCACGUAGGCGGUCUGUCGCGUCGGAUGUGAAAAAUCCAGGGCUCAACCCUGGACCUGCAUUCGAUACGGGCAGACUAGAGUUCGGUAGGGGAGACUGGAAUUCCUGGUGUAGCGGUGAAAUGCGCAGAUAUCAGGAAGAACACCAAUGGCGAAGGCAGCUCGCUGGGACGGUAUUGACGCUGAGACGCGAAAGCGUGGGGAGCAAACAGG